rnacentral:rRNA from 1 species
GACGAACGCUGGCGGCGUGCUUAACACAUGCAAGUCGAACGGAAAGGCCCUGCUUUUGUGGGGUGCUCGAGUGGCGAACGGGUGAGUAACACGUGAGUAACCUGCCCUUGACUUUGGGAUAACUUCAGGAAACUGGGGCUAAUACCGGAUAGGAGCUCCUGCUGCAUGGUGGGGGUUGGAAAGUUUCGGCGGUUGGGGAUGGACUCGCGGCUUAUCAGCUUGUUGGUGGGGUAGUGGCUUACCAAGGCUUUGACGGGUAGCCGGCCUGAGAGGGUGACCGGCCACAUUGGGACUGAGAUAAGGCCCAGACUCCUACGGGAGGCAGAAGGGGGGAAUAUUGCACAAUGGGCGGAAGCCUGAUGCAGCAACGCCGCGUGCGGGAUGACGGCCUUCGGGUUGUAAACCGCUUUCGCCUGUGACGAAGCGUGAGUGACGGUAAUGGGUAAAGAAGCACCGGCUAACUACGUG